AGGUCACAGCUCUGUAAAAGUGAAGCCAUGAUGGAAAAAUUAAAAAAUCCAGAGGCAGAACAAAAAAUGGUGAAAAAUUAAGAAUAGGAGAUGUAAUUUAUUACUUCCAUAAAGAUCAAGUAAGUAUUCACUAAAAACAGUUUGUGUUUUAACUUUUUUAUAAAAAAAUAUCUGAAAUAAUCAGUUUGUAUGUUUAGAUCUAUAUUUAAUGUCAACAAGACUAUAUAGCAGUGAGCAUACUAUAUAUAGGCUGAGAAAGUCAAUCCCCACAACAACAAAAAUGAAGUGAUUUCUGAUGCUCCAGAAGGGUAAUCAAUUACUGCUCUUUUUUUGGCAACAAUCUUCUUACUCAACAUUUGUACUAGUAUUGUACUGGUAUUUGUAUGGUUUGAUGGUUUCAAUUGAUGAAUAGAGCAUUAAGUUCAAUAGAUAAGAAAACUACAAACAUUUUUAAGUGUUUGCUUUGCACAAGAUAGACAAACUUAUGAACAGAAAAAAUCAUAUCUUAGUCAAAAACAAUCUUUUGUCUUAGAUUAAUGUUUUCAAAAAUGAAGAAUCGUACAGGGAAAAGUACCUAUAUUAGAUUUAUGAUUGGUUUUUUUUGCUUGUCAUUUAUAUAAAUUUGGUGAAAUGAUAAAUAUUUCUACUACACUGAUAGACAUUUCAAGAUUGGUUAAAUUAGAAAAUGAAGUUAGAGUUUUCAAUUGUUAUAAUUUAUGUAAAUCAUCUGAUGAAUUAUCUCUUGCAAUUGACAAUGUGCAUGCAUGAUAUUGUGUAUGUUGUGCAUGAUUGUGGUAGUUGCGGAUGUUGUGUCAUGACAAGGAAUGAUAGAAAAAUUUUCCAGGGAUUUCAAACGCAAUUUAGAUCGUCCUGGUUUUUUAAUUAAUAAGUUUAAAAUGAAUUUCAACCAUAAAUGAUGAUGAUUUUUGUUUCUUUUUCUUCUGUAGUAUAACAUAUUUUUGGUUGAUAGAGAGCAUGAAUUGUUUACCAAUUAUUACUAUCAAAAAUAUUCAUGUUCUGUUUGUAUUUUUUCCAUAAUUGUUUCAAAAUAUAAUUGUGUUAAUUUCUUUCUUUUUAUGAGAUCUCAACCCUUGCUGAAACUUGACAACAACAUAAGAAGCCAAGAUCAACAAUACUUGGAACUACAUCAUCAUGUAUAAUCAAAGAACAUGUACUGUCAGAAUCGGAUCAAUCCAUAUGAGAACCAAUCUUAACUUGAUGCCUACAUGUAUAUACAAUGUGUUGUCAGAAUCCAUCCACUUUAGAAGUCAAAGAUCAAUUAUAAUUUAGAAGUGCAUGCUAUAGUGCUGGCAAAUUCCAUAAACAAAUUUAAGAUCACAAAAGGACCUACUUUACCUACCUAUCCCAAUAAUGAAUACAGAUUAUUGGUUCUUGUUAAAAAAAACACUGAAGAAGAAUAUUGACAUAUAAAUAAUGAAAAUAUAGAACUGAUCAGCUAAGUAUUGUACUUGUACAUGAUGUAUAUAUGUCAACAAUUACUAGUAUAUUGAAAUUAACAAUGUUAAUAAGUGUCUUAUAAAUUUGAUCUCAUAGCUAUAGACAUAUGAGGAAUAAAAAUAAAAAAUCUUUCAAAAAAU
rnacentral:lncRNA from 1 species